UUACGGCCAUAUCACAUAGAAACACUAGUUCCCAUAUAAUCACUAAAGUUAAGCAAUGUUGAGCCUGGUCAGUUCCUAGAUGGGUGACCGCGUGGGAACACCAGGUGUUGUAAG